rnacentral:rRNA from 1 species
UACGUAGGGUGCAAGCGUUAAUCGGAAUUACUGGGCGUAAAGCGUGCGCAGGCGGUUUCUUAAGUCAGAUGUGAAAGCCCCGGGCUUAACCUGGGAACUGCGUUUGAAACUGGGGAGCUAGAGUGUAGAAGAGGGGGGUGGAAUUCCAGGUGUAGCAGUGAAAUGCGUAGAUAUCUGGAGGAACACCGAUGGCGAAGGCAGCCCCCUGGGCGUAACACC